rnacentral:rRNA from 1 species
GAUGAACGCUGGCGGCGUGCCUAAUACAUGCAAGUCGAGCGAACAGAUGAGGAGCUUGCUCCUCUGACGUUAGCGGCGGACGGGUGAGUAACACGUGGAUAACCUCCCUAUAAGACUGGGAUCACUUCGGGAAACCGGAGCUAAUACCGGAUAAUAUAUUGAACCGCAUGGUUCAAUAGUGAAAGACGGUUUUGCUGUCACUUAUAGAUGGAUCCGCGCCGCAUUAGCUAGUUGGUAAGGUAACGGCUUACCAAGGCAACGAUGCGUAGCCGACCUGAGAGGGUGAUCGGCCACACUGGAACGGAGACACGGUCCAGACUCCUACGGGAGGCAGCAGUAGGGAAUCUUCCGCAAUGGGCGAAAGCCUGACGGAGCAACGCCGCGUGAGUGAUGAAGGUCUUCGGAUCGUAAAACUCUGUUAUUAGGGAAGAACAAAUGUGUAAGUAACUAUGCACGUCUUGACGGUACCUAAUCAGAAAGCCACGGCUAACUACGUG